CAGUCGACGGGCAUCUUCGGAUUCCAGUGACGGACGGGUGAGUAACGCGUAAGAACCUAACUUCAGGACGGGGACAACGGUUGGAAACGACUGCUAAUACCCGAUGUGCCGCGAGGUGAAACCUAAUUGGCCUGAAGAAGAGCUUGCGUCUGAUUAGCUAGUUGGUGGGGUAAAGGCCUACCAAGGCGACGAUCAGUAGCUGGUCUGAGAGGAUGAGCAGCCACACUGGGACUGAGACACGGCCCAGACUCCUACGGGAGGCAGCAGUGGGGAAUUUUCCGCAAUGGGCGAAAGCCUGACGGAACAACGCCGCGUGAAGGAGGAAGGUCUUUGGAUUGUAAACCUCUUUUCUCAAGGAAGAAGUUCUGACGGUACUUGAGGAAUCAGCCUCGGCUAACUCCGUGCCAGCAGCCGCGGUAAUACGGGGUAGGCAAGCGUUAUCCGGAAUUAUUGGGCGUAAAGCGUCCGCAGGUGGUCAGCCAAAUCUGCUGUGAAAUCAGGUUGCUUAACGACCUAAAGGCGGUGGAAACUGGCUCACUAGAGAGCAGUAGGGGUAGCAGGAAUUCCCAGUGUAGCGGUGAAAUGCGUAUAGAUUGGGAAGAACAUCGGUGGCGAAAGCGUGCUACUGGGCUGUAUCUGACACUCAGGGACGAAAGCUAGGGGAGCGAAAGGGAUUAGAUACCCCUGUAGUCCUAGCCGUAAACGAUGGAUACUAGGCGUGGCUUGUAUCGACCCGAGCCGUGCCGAAGCUAACGCGUUAAGUAUCCCGCCUGGGGGAGUACGCACGCAGUGUGAAACUCAAGGAAUUGACGG
rnacentral:rRNA from 1 species